GGUCUCAUAGUGUAACGGUUAGCACUUUGGACUCUGAAUCCAGUGAUCCGAGUUCAAAUCUCGGGGAGACCU
rnacentral:tRNA from 1 species